CACAUAUUGUGAGCUCGAUGAGUAGGGCGGGACACGUGGUAUCCUGUCUGAAUAUGGGGGGACCAUCCUCCAAGGCUAAAUACUCCUGACUGACCGAUAGUGAACCAGUACCGUGAGGGAAAGGCGAAAAGAACCCCGGCGAGGGGAGUGAAAAAGAACCUGAAACCGUGUACGUACAAGCAGUGGGAGCCUCUUUAUGGGGUGACUGCGUACCUUUUGUAUAAUGGGUCAGCGACUUAUAUUCUGUAGCAAGGUUAACCGAAUAGGGGAGCCGAAGGGAAACCGAGUCUUAACUGGGCGUUAAGUUGCAGGGUAUAGACCCGAAACCCGGUGAUCUAGCCAUGGGCAGGUUGAAGGUUGGGUAACACUAACUGGAGGACCGAACCGACUAAUGUUGAAAAAUUAGCGGAUGACUUGUGGCUGGGGGUGAAAGGCCAAUCAAACCGGGAGAUAGCUGGUUCUCCCCGAAAGCUAUUUAGGUAGCGCCUCGUGAAUUCAUCUCCGGGGGUAGAGCACUGUUUCGGCAAGGGGGUCAUCCCGACUUACCAACCCGAUGCAAACUGCGAAUACCGGAGAAUGUUAUCACGGGAGACACACGGCGGGUGCUAACGUCCGUCGUGAAGAGGGAAACAACCCAGACCGCCAGCUAAGGUCCCAAAGUCAUGGUUAAGUGGGAAACGAUGUGGGAAGGCCCAGACAGCCAGGAUGUUGGCUUAGAAGCAGCCAUCAUUUAAAGAAAGCGUAAUAGCUCACUGGUCGAGUCGGCCUGCGCGGAAGAUGUAACGGGGCUAAACCAUGCACCGAAGCUGCGGCAGCGACACUAUGUGUUGUUGGGUAGGGGAGCGUUCUGUAAGCCUGUGAAGGUGGCCUGUGAGGGUUGCUGGAGGUAUCAGAAGUGCGAAUGCUGACAUAAGUAACGAUAAAGCGGGUGAAAAGCCCGCUCGCCGGAAGACCAAGGGUUCCUGUCCAACGUUAAUCGGGGCAGGGUGAGUCGACCCCUAAGGCGAGGCCGAAAGGCGUAGUCGAUGGGAAACAGGUUAAUAUUCCUGUACUUGGUGUUACUGCGAAGGGGGGACGGAGAAGGCUAUGUUGGCCGGGCGACGGUUGUCCCGGUUUAAGCGUGUAGGCUGGUUUUCCAGGCAAAUCCGGAAAACCAAGGCUGAGGCGUGAUGACGAGGCACUACGGUGCUGAAGCGACAAAUGCCCUGCUUCCAGGAAAAGCCUCUAAGCAUCAGGUAACAUCAAAUCGUACCCCAAACCGACACAGGUGGUCAGGUAGAGAAUACCAAGGCGCUUGAGAGAACUCGGGUGAAGGAACUAGGCAAAAUGGUGCCGUAACUUCGGGAGAAGGCACGCUGAUAUGUAGGUGAAGCGACUUGCUCGUGGAGCUGAAAUCAGUCGAAGAUACCAGCUGGCUGCAACUGUUUAUUAAAAACACAGCACUGUGCAAACACGAAAGUGGACGUAUACGGUGUGACGCCUGCCCGGUGCCGGAAGGUUAAUUGAUGGGGUUAGCGGUAACGCGAAGCUCUUGAUCGAAGCCCCGGUAAACGGCGGCCGUAACUAUAACGGUCCUAAGGUAGCGAAAUUCCUUGUCGGGUAAGUUCCGACCUGCACGAAUGGCGUAAUGAUGGCCAGGCUGUCUCCACCCGAGACUCAGUGAAAUUGAACUCGCUGUGAAGAUGCAGUGUACCCGCGGCAAGACGGAAAGACCCCGUGAACCUUUACUAUAGCUUGACACUGAACAUUGAGCCUUGAUGUGUAGGAUAGGUGGGAGGCUUUGAAGUGUGGACGCCAGUCUGCAUGGAGCCGACCUUGAAAUACCACCCUUUAAUGUUUGAUGUUCUAACGUUGGCCCGUAAUCCGGGUUGCGGACAGUGUCUGGUGGGUAGUUUGACUGGGGCGGUCUCCUCCUAAAGAGUAACGGAGGAGCACGAAGGUUGGCUAAUCCUGGUCGGACAUCAGGAGGUUAGUGCAAUGGCAUAAGCCAGCUUGACUGCGAGCGUGACGGCGCGAGCAGGUGCGAAAGCAGGUCAUAGUGAUCCGGUGGUUCUGAAUGGAAGGGCCAUCGCUCAACGGAUAAAAGGUACUCCGGGGAUAACAGGCUGAUACCGCCCAAGAGUUCAUAUCGACGGCGGUGUUUGGCACCUCGAUGUCGGCUCAUCACAUCCUGGGGCUGAAGUAGGUCCCAAGGGUAUGGCUGUUCGCCAUUUAAAGUGGUACGCGAGCUGGGUUUAGAACGUCGUGAGACAGUUCGGUCCCUAUCUGCCGUGGGCGCUGGAGAACUGAGGGGGGCUGCUCCUAGUACGAGAGGACCGGAGUGGACGCAUCACUGGUGUUCGGGUUGUCAUGCCAAUGGCACUGCCCGGUAGCUAAAUGCGGAAGAGAUAAGUGCUGAAAGCAUCUAAGCACGAAACUUGCCCCGAGAUGAGUUCUCCCUGAGACUUAGAGUCUCCUGAAGGAACGUUGAAGACGACGACGUUGAUAGGCCGGGUGUGUAAGCGCAGCGAUGCGUUGAGCUAACCGGUACUAAUGAACCGUGAGGCUUAACCUU
rnacentral:rRNA from 2 species